GACGAACGCUGGCGGCGUGCUUAACACAUGCAAGUCGAACGGAAAGGCCCUGCUUUUGUGGGGUGCUCGAGUGGCGAACGGGUGAGUAACACGUGAGUAACCUGCCCUUGACUUUGGGAUAACUUCAGGAAACUGGGGCUAAUACCGGAUAGGAGCUCCUGCUGCAUGGUGGGGGUUGGAAAGUUUCGGCGGUUGGGGAUGGACUCGCGGCUUAUCAGCUUGUUGGUGGGGGAGUGGCUUACCAAGGCUUUGACGGGUAGCCGGCCUGAGAGGGUGACCGGCCACAUUGGGACUGAGAUACGGCCCAGACUCCUACGGGAGGCAGCAGUGGGGAAUAUUGCACAAUGGGCGGAAGCCUGAUGCAGCAACGCCGCGUGCGGGAUGACGGCCUUCGGGUUGUAAACCGCUUUCGCCUGUGACGAGGCGUGAGUGACGGUAAUGAGUAAAGAAGCACCGGCUAACUACGUG
rnacentral:rRNA from 1 species